UGGUUCUGGCAUCGAUGAAGAACGCAGCGAAAUGCGAUAAGUAAUGUGAAUUGCAGAAUUCAGUGAAUCAUCGAAUCUUUGAACGCACAUUGCGCCCUUUGGUAUUCCGAAGGGCAUGCCUGUUCGAGCGUCAUUUAAGCCCUCAAGCACUGCUUGGUCUUGGGUGCGGUCCGGCAGGACCCUCCCGCAACCCCUUGGGCGGGACCGUCCGGCUCCAAGCGUAGCACGAUUUAUCCCUCGCUUCGGAGUCCUGGCGGCCCUCGCCCGGAAACCCACCAUUCACAGCUUGACCUCGGAUCAGGUAGGGAUACCCGCUGA
rnacentral:misc_RNA from 1 species